GCAGGCUGGCUGUGGGUGUGAGGCAGCAGAGGCUUGUGUGUGUCCACCAUGGCCUGGACCGUGCUCCUCCUCGCCCUUCUUGCUCACUGCGCAGGUUCCUGGGCCCAGGUUGUGUUCACUCAGCCUCAGUCUGUGUCGGGGUCACUGGGGGAGACGGUCUCCAUUUCGUGCACACGCAGCAGUGGUAGCAUUUGGGAAUACGCUGUGCACUGGUACCAGCAGCUCCCAGGCAGGGCUCCCACACUCGUGAUCUAUGAUGAUGAUCAGAGAGCCUCGGGGGUUCCUGAGCGGUUCUCUGGCUCCACCGACAGCUCGUCCAACUCUGCCUCCCUGACCAUCUCUGGGCUGCAGGCUGAGGAUGAGGCUGACUACUUCUGUCAGUCUAUUGCUAGCACUGGUAAUUGCACAGUGCUCCAGCCCCACGGGGAAGUGAGACAAAAACUCCCUGAGCAAACAGCCCUGCUUCUACCCUCUACCUGUAAACCUACCCCCAACACCAACUCCAGGAGAAAGUUUAAACCUUCAGCAAGUACAACAUGCUGCCUGAGAACACCCCAGCUAGUGAAUGGAAAUGUCAGGAAUGAGAACGGGGAAGCAAAGAACAUGAUCACCAGCGCCAUCCACCAGGAGGCGCUGUCGGCCGCGCACUUGGCUGUUGCUUGA